rnacentral:rRNA from 1 species
GACGAACGCUGGCGGCGUGCUUAACACAUGCAAGUCGAACGAGGCCCCUCCUUCGGGAGGGUGUCCUAGUGGCGAACGGGUGAGUAACACGUGGGCAACCUGCCCCCGGCUCUGGGAUAACUCCAAGAAAUUGGGGCUAAUACCGGAUAUGACCGCUGACCGCAUGGUCGGUGGUGGAAAGUUUUUCGGCUGGGGAUGGGCCCGCGGCCUAUCAGCUUGUUGGUAGGGUAGUGGCCUACCAAGGCGACGACGGGUAGCCGGCCUGAGAGGGUGACCGGCCACACUGGGACUGAGACACGGCCCAGACUCCUACGGGAGGCAGCAGUGGGGAAUAUUGCGCAAUGGGCGGAAGCCUGACGCAGCGACGCCGCGUGGGGGAUGACGGCCUUCGGGUUGUAAACCUCUUUCAGCAGGGACGAAGCGAAAGUGACGGUACCUGCAGAAGAAGCACCGGCCAACUACGUGCCAGCCGCCGCAGUAAAAC